UACGUAGGGGGCGAGCGUUGUCCGAAGUUACUGGGCGUAAAGCGCGCGUAGGCGGGUCUUUAAGUGAGAGGUGAAAGGUUCAGGGCUCAACCCGGACACUGCCUUUCAUACUGGGGACCUUGAGUGCAGGAGAGGCGAGUGGAAUGGUCGGUGUAGCGGUGAAAUGCGUAGAUAUCGAUCGGAACACCCAUGGCGAAGGCAGCUCGCUGGCCUGUAACUGACGCUGAGGAGCGAAAGCAUGGGGAGCGAACAGG
rnacentral:rRNA from 1 species